rnacentral:rRNA from 1 species
CCACGAGUCACUAAUUGUUGGGGUCCUUGAGGACUCAGUCACGCCGCUAACGCAUUAACCCUUUCGUCCUGGGGAGAACGGCCGCAAGGUUAAAACUCAAAUGAAUUGAGGGGGGCCCGCACAAGCGGUGGAGCAUGUGGUUUAAUUCUAAGCAACUCGAAGAACCUUACCUGGGCUUGACAUGCUUAGAACUUUCUAUAGAUAGAUUGGUGCCUUCGGGAACUCAGACACCGGUGCUGCAUGGCUGUCGUCAGCUCGUGCCGCGAGAUGUUGGGUUAAGUCCCCGAAACGAGCGCCAACCCCUUGUUGCUUAUUUUACCACCACGUAAUGGAGGGCACUCCCAAGAGACCGCCCGGUUGUACCAACCCCAAAGAAGGGGGGUGAUGACCUACAAGUCAUCGUGGGCCCUUAUCGGACAGGGGUUUACACCCGUUGCUACUAAUGGUUUGGAAACAACGGGGCUGCCCCCCUCCCUGAGGACGGAAACUCAUUUCCCAAACAAACCCCACCUUUAUUUCCUGGAUAGGCAGGAAAGCAACCCCUUCUUGAUUGUAAGUCGGGUAAUUUCCCUAGUUUAUCCCCGGAAACCUGAAUGCCCGCCCAAUUAAAUACCCUUCGCCCCGGGCGUUUAUUAAAAAAUCCCCGCCUUAUCUCAACUAAAGUGUAGGGGGAGUUUUUACCCCCAAAAGAUACUU